rnacentral:rRNA from 1 species
AAUAUUGCACAAUGGGCGCAAGCCUGAUGCAGCCAUGCUGCGUGUGUGAAGAAGGCCUUCGGGUUGUAAAGCACUUUCAGUCGUGAGGAAGGUAGUGUAGUUAAUAGCUGCAUUAUUUGACGUUAGCGACAGGAGAAGCACCGGCUAACUCCGUGCCAGCAGCCGCGGUAAUACGGAGGGUGCGAGCGUUAAUCGGAAUUACUGGGCGUAAAGCGCAUGCAGGUGGUUUGUUAAGUCAGAUGUGAAAGCCCCGGGGCUCAACCUCGGAAUUGCAUUUGAAACUGGCAGACUAGAGUACUGUAGAGGGGGUAGAAUUUCAGGUGUAGCGGUGAAAUGCGUAGAGAUCUGAAGGAAUACCGGUGGCGAAGGCGGCCCCCUGGACAGAUACUGACACUCAGAUGCGAAAGCGUGGGGAGCAAACAGGAUUAGAUACCCUGGUAG